UACAGAGGAGCCAAGCGUUGUCCGGAUUGACUGGGCGUAAAGCGCACGCAGGCGGUCGGGCGCGUGGGGUGUGAAAUCUGGCCGCUUAACGGCCAGGCGCCAUCCCAUACGGCACGACUGGAGUGAUGCAGAGGUCGAUGGAAUUGCCGGUGUAGUGGUGAAAUGCGUAGAGAUGUGGAGGAACACCGAUGGCGAAGGCAGCCCCCUGGGCUAACACUGACGCUCAUGCACGAAAGCGUGGGGAGCAAACAGG
rnacentral:rRNA from 1 species